rnacentral:rRNA from 1 species
GUAGUCUGCAACUCGACUACAUGAAGCUGGAAUCGCUAGUAAUCGCGAAUCAGAAUGUCGCGGUGAAUACGUUCCCGGGUCUUGUACACACCGCCCGUCACACCAUGGGAGUUGGUAACGCCCGAAGCCAGUGACCUAACCGAAAGGGAGGAGCUGUCGAAGGCGGGACCGAUAACUGGGGUGAAGUCGUAACAAGGUAAC